GCGCGCCUUUCGGGGUGAGCGGCGGACGGGUUAGUAACGCGUGGGAAUAUGCCCUUUGGUACGGAAUAGCCUCUGGAAACGGAGAGUAAUACCGUAUGAGCCCUUCGGGGGAAAGAUUUAUCGCCAAAGGAUUAGCCCGCGUUAGAUUAGGUAGUUGGUGGGGUAAUGGCCUACCAAGCCUACGAUCUAUAGCUGGUUUUAGAGGAUGAUCAGCAACACUGGGACUGAGACACGGCCCAGACUCCUACGGGAGGCAGCAGUGGGGAAUCUUGGACAAUGGGGGCAACCCUGAUCCAGCCAUGCCGCGUGAGUGAUGAAGGCCUUAGGGUCGUAAAGCUCUUUCGCCUGUGAAGAUAAUGACGGUAGCAGGUAAAGAAACCCCGGCUAACUCCGUGCCAGCAGCCGCGGUAAUACGGAGGGGGUUAGCGUUGUUCGGAAUUACUGGGCGUAAAGCGCACGUAGGCGGAUCGGAAAGUUGGGGGUGAAAUCCCGGGGCUCAACCCCGGAACUGCCUCCAAAACUAUCGGUCUAGAGUUCGAGAGAGGUGAGUGGAAUUCCGAGUGUAGAGGUGAAAUUCGUAGAUAUUCGGAGGAACACCAGUGGCGAAGGCGGCUCACUGGCUCGAUACUGACGCUGAGGUGCGAAAGUGUGGGGAGCAAACAGGAUUAGAUACCCUGGUAGUCCACACCGUAAACGAUGAAUGCCAGUCGUCGGGUAGCAUGCUAUUCGGUGACACACCUAACGGAUUAAGCAUUCCGCCUGGGGAGUACGGUCGCAAGAUUAAAACUCAAAGGA
rnacentral:rRNA from 1 species